GAUGAAGAACGUAGUGAAAUGCGAUAAGUAAUGUGAAUUGCAGAAUUCAGUGAAUCAUCGAAUCUUUGAACGCACAUUGCGCCCCCUGGUAUUCCGGGGGGCAUGCCUGUCCGAGCGUCAUUACAACCCUCAAGCUCAGCUUGGUGUUGGGCCCCGCUGCCCCGGCGGGCCCUAAAGUCAGUGGCGGUGCCGUCCGGCUCCGAGCGUAGUAAUUCUUCUCGCUCUGGAGGUCCGGUCGUGUGCUCGCCAGCAACCCCCAAUUUUUUUCAGGUUGACCUCGGAUCAGGUAGGGAUACCCGCUGAACUUAAGCAUAUCAAUAAGCGGAGGA
rnacentral:misc_RNA from 1 species